rnacentral:rRNA from 1 species
UGAGUACGAGAUGCUACGGCAUCGAAGCAGUCUAUGUCAUACUUCCAAGAAAAGCUUGCACUGUCAUAAACAAAGAAUGCCUGUACCAUAACCGACACAGGUGGGUAGGUAGAGUAUACUAAGGGGCGCGAGAUAACUCUCUCUAAGGAACUCGGCAAAAUGACUCCGUAACUUCGGGAGAAGGAGUGCCUUAUUUCUAAGGUUGCAAUAACAAGAUCCAAGCAACUGUUUACCAAAAACACAGGUCUCCGCUAAGUCGUAAGACGAUGUAUGGGGGCUGACGCCUGCCCAGUGCCAGAAGGUUAAAGAAGUUGGUUAGCAUUAGCGAAGCUGAUAACUGAAGCCCUGGUGAACGGCGGCCGUAACGAUAACGGUCCUAAGGUAGCGAAAUUCCUUGUCGGGUAAGUUCCGACCCGCACGAAAGGCGUAACGAUCUGGGCACUGUCUCGGAGAGAGGCUCGGCGAAAUAGGAUUGUCUGUGAAGAUACGGACUACCUGCACCUGGACAGAAAGACCCUAUGAAGCUUUACUGUAACUUGAGAUUAAAAUUGGACUUUAUUUGCGCAGUAUAGGUGGGAGGCGUUGAGGAUAAUCUUGCGGGAUUGUUGGAGCCAUCAGUGAGAUACCACUCUUGUAAUGUUAGAUUUCUAACUUUGUAUCAUUAUCUGGUCAAAGAACAGUUUCAGGCGGGCAGUUUGACUGGGGCGGUCGCCUCCCAAAGGGUAACGGAGGCGCACAAAGGUUUCCUCUGAACGGGUAGAAAUCGUAUCUAGAGUGUAAAGGCAUAAGGAAGCUUGACUGUGAGACCUACUAGUCGAGCAGGGACGAAAGUCGGUCUUAGUGAUCUGACGGUGCUGAGUGGAAAGGCCGUCACUCAACGGAUAAAAGUUACUCUAGGAUAACAGGCUGAUCUCCCCCAAGAGUUCACAUCGACGGGGAGGUUUGGCACCUCGAUGUCGGCUCAUCGCAUCCUGGGGCGGUAGUCCGUCCCAAGGGUUGGGCUGUUCGCCCAUGAAAGCGGUACGCGAGCUGGGUUCAGAACGUCGUGAGACAGUUCGGUCCAUAUCCGGUGUAGGCGUUAGAAUAUUGAGAGGAGCCUUCUCUAGUACGAGAGGACCGAGAAGGACAUACCUCUGGUGUACCAGUUAUCGUGCCAACGGUAAACGCUGGGUAGCUAUGUAUGGAGUGGAUAACCGCUGAAAGCAUCUAAGUGGGAAGCCCACCUCAAGAUAAGUAUUCUCA